AACGAACGCUGGCGGCAGGCUUAACACAUGCAAGUCGAGCGCCUCGCAAGAGGAGCGGCAGACGGGUGAGUACCGCGUGGGAACGUACCCUUAUCUUCGGAAUAGCUCUGGGAAACUGGAAGUAAUACCGAAUGUGCCCUUAGGGGGAAAGAUUUAUCGGAUAAGGAUCGGCCCGCGUUGGAUUAGCUAGUUGGUGGGGUAAAGGCCUACCAAGGCGACGAUCCAUAGCUGGUCUGAGAGGAUGAUCAGCCACAUUGGGACUGAGACACGGCCCAAACUCCUACGGGAGGCAGCAGUGGGGAAUAUUGGACAAUGGGCGCAAGCCUGAUCCAGCCAUGCCGCGUGAGUGAUGAAGGCCUUAGGGUUGUAAAGCUCUUUCACCGGAGAAGAUAAUGACGGUAUCCGGAGAAGAAGCCCCGGCUAACUUCGUG
rnacentral:rRNA from 1 species